UGAACGCUGGCGGCAUGCCUAAGACAUGCAAGUCGUACGAAGUGGCCCAUUGAUGAUUGAGUGCUUGCACAAGAUUUGAUUUGGAUUCCCACUUAGUGGCGCAAGGGUGAGUAACGCGUAGGUUAUCUGCCUUCGAGUUUGGAAUAACAAUUAGAAAUGAUUGCUAAUGCCGGAUUAUAUUUAAGAUGAUACGUUGUCUUAAAUUAAAAGGAGCCUUUAAAGCUUCGCUUGAAGAUGGGCCCGCAUCUGAUUAGCUAGUUGGUGAGAUAACAGCCCACCAAGGCGACGAUCAGUAGCCGACCUGAGAGGGUGAUCGGCCACAUUGGGACUGAGACACGGCCCAAACUCCUACGGGAGGCAGCAGUGGGGAAUAUUGCACAAUGGGGGAAACCCUGAUGCAGCAACGCCGCGUGAAGGAAGACGGUUUUCGGAUUGUAAACUUCUAUCAAUAGGGACGAAGAAAGUGACGGUACCUAAAUAAGAAGCCCCGGCUAACUACGUG
rnacentral:rRNA from 1 species